CACACCAGUUUACAGAAAAGAAACUGAAGAAUCAAGAGGCUAAGUCACUGCGAAAGGUCAGGUGGACAUUAAACACUAAAGCAGGAAUUUGAACUAAACUCUGACUCUACAUUCUCAGGUCUGGAUAACUAAACUAUAUAUUCCAUGAUUCCAUACUGCUACCUCAAGACCAAGUUCUAGGGAUGGGAGUGACUGUGAAGGAAGGAAGGAAGGAAAAAGGAAAGGAAGAAAGACAAUGGAGCACCUGCCCCGAAUUAACACAGCUGGAAAGAAGGGCCUGCAGGUCAUGAGCACGUCUGCCACGUGAUCUAACGAAGCACUUUUAACACCGUGCCCAGGGCCACAGGAUCCACACGGCUUCAGCACUAACAUCGACAGGACUGUGCAGUACUGGGGACGGAACCUGGGGUGCUCUACCAUGGAGCUACACUCCCAGCCCUUUCUGAAAAGUUGCCCAGGCCUGGCCUCCAACUUGCAAUCCUCCUGCCUCAGCCUCCUGAGAAGCUGGGGUUACAGGGGUGAGCCACUGGGCCCAACUUUGAUGCUCCAGAUAAGCACGUGAGGAUGGGGAGAACAUUCUUGUGCAUCCUUUCUGAUUCUGGCUGGGAUUCACACUGGAAUAGCUUACCUGCUUACUAAACAAACACCCCCCAACAACAAGGUAUCUCUUACAAAGUCACCUACUGAGUCAAAGCUGUAGUCUCCUCCACGUACGAUUCUAGUCAAGGAAACCGUGGCCGGAGCACACUGCCAGCACCUUCUUCCUUUCUGUUUUUCUCUUUCCUUUUUUUGACAGCAAAUGGAAAAUUAAAGAUUCGAAACCAGCUAAGUUUGUAACAUUCAUAAGUCACGACCUUUGGCUUCUCUGAACCUCAUUUUCUUAACCUCUAAAAUAUGAUAAUGUGAACCUCCUGAGUUGUUAGAAGGAUUAAGUAAGUUAAUGAAUUCUAAAAGAAUCAGCAUAAUUUCUGGCACAUAAUAUGCAUUAAAUACAUGGAAGAGGUCAUUAUUCAGAACCCGGCUUUGGGCAC